GCGUGCAGGAUGAAGGCCUUCGGGUUGUAAACUGCUUUUGUACGGAACGAAACGGUCUCUCCUAAUACGAGGGGCUAAUGACGGUACCGUAAGAAUAAGCACCGGCUAACUACGUGCCAGCAGCCGCGGUAAUACGUAGGGUGCAAGCGUUAAUCGGAAUUACUGGGCGUAAAGCGUGCGCAGGCGGUUAUAUAAGACAGAUGUGAAAUCCCCGGGCUCAACCUGGGACCUGCAUUUGUGACUGUAUAGCUAGAGUACGGUAGAGGGGGAUGGAAUUCCGCGUGUAGCAGUGAAAUGCGU
rnacentral:rRNA from 1 species